rnacentral:pre_miRNA from 1 species
CAUUUUCUCAGCCUUAAAUAUUAGUAAUGUACUCCCUCCGUUCCAUUUUAAAUACAACCAUAAAUUUUUAUAUCUAACUUUUAAUAAAACAUGAAUAGUACUUUACUCAUGACUUAUGUUUUUUAAUUUUUUUAAAAGCUUUUAAAAUAAGACGGACGAUUAAAGUUAGGCGCUGAAAAUUAUGGCUGGACUUAAA